AGAGUUUGAUCAUGGCUCAGAAUCAACGCUGGCGGCGUGCCUAAUACAUGCAAGUCGUACGCGAAGACCCCGCAAGGGGUUUGUAGCGUGGCAAACGGGUGAGUAACGCGUGGGCGACCUGCCUUCGAGUGGGGGAUAACCUUCCGAAAGGAGGGCUAAUACCGCAUGACAUGCUCUGUUUGGAUACAGGGACAUCAAAG
rnacentral:rRNA from 1 species